rfam:Gossypium raimondii chromosome 5, whole genome shotgun sequence.
UGGCCGUGAUGACACAAAGGCCGGACUUACGGCUGCUACUGCUCUUCCCUUGUGUGGUAGUAGUAUGAUGUUUGUUGUGAUAAGGUGUUUGUGCUGAGCCAC